rnacentral:lncRNA from 1 species
GACAAAAUCCCUAGUGAAGUUUGCUCGGGCGAACGAGCGAACAAACGCAACCAACGAGUGAAUCGUGCGAAGAGAAAGAAUCGUCUGAUUGCAAAUUGAAGUGAAGGCUGCCUGAUCGCGAGCUAAGGCCUGUCAGUAAGCGCGAGCGAGCCCUGUCGGCGAUUCGACCGAGAGUUGAAGACCUGUGCCAGCGAGCGAGAGCGAGCCAUGUCAGCGAAAUCGCGAGUUGAAGACCGGUCACUGACCGCGAGCGAGCCCUAGCGGCGAUCGACCGAGAAAGAGGGACUGGAAGAGAGCGAGAAGUGGGGAGCGAGCGAGGUCACCCCAGAUCAACUGCACUCCACGCCUUGCCUCCAGAUCAAAUCUCCUCCCUAACCUCUUUUUUAACUGGAUCGAAUGACCUCGGCUCCACGCCUGAUUACAACCGAGCGAACACCCAGUGACCGCGAGUGAGAUCAUUUCACAAGCAACAGUUCUCCACUUCCGACGAGCGACAGAUACAACUACCAGAAAAUAGGAGGAAAUUUCGCUAUUGGUUUUUGACCUACAAGUCGAGGACUAGCACGCUACAUCUAUUCCAUACAUCUUAUCUACUUUUAGUUGUUUAGUUUGUAAUCUUUAUUUUUUAUUUAAUCUAAAUCUUCUUUUAAAAAAAAA